CCCAAGCAAAUGUUGCCCCAUAAUAUAAAAUAUAUUAAUGAAUUGUAAAUCGAAACAAACAAAAAAUGAACAAAAUAGAACAGCUCUAAAAAUUGACCAAAGUUCGAAACUAAUUCUAAAAAAAUUAAGUUCAGUGCAUUGCUGCUCUUCGAUAAUUUCCGCUUGACGUAAAUGCAGACGUAAACAACGAUAUACAUAAUUUAUCUGUACAAUAUAUCGUCAGGCUCUAAGAACUCCCAUCUCUGAUACUUAUGUACAUACAUUUGCUCAUUCUUGUUUCCGGUAUCUCUUUGCUAGAACGUUUUGGUAUUGCGGUAACAAAAUGCUUGAAAAAUCACGUAUGGAGAUCAUCGACAAAGUGCUCGGACACCUGCAAGAGAAAGACCAACUAGAAUUGGCACAGGUCAACGAACAGCUGGGCCGCGCAUUUUCCUACCACGUUCGAGGCAAAUAUAAGUAUCUGGAUUGCUGCCAAUUUGUACAUAUUAAUAAAUAUAUAAUGCGCUAUACAGAUGAGGAACUGGGAACUAUUCUGUCAUUAUGCGGAUCCACUGUUUUAUGUACAUGUUUCAAUAUGUUCUGAUAAAGUGUCUGAUAAAAUUCUAAAACUCAUAGAAAAGUGCUGCAUUAACCUGGAAUCUGCCUAUUUUAUGAUAAAAACUACAAAUUUCAACGCGAUCAAACGUGUUUUGAAAAUGUCAGGCAUCAAACAACUUCACUUGGAUAGUUAUAGUUAUGGCGCAGCGGAUCUGCUGGAGUACGUAAAUCCAUACAGUACAACAUUGUAUUUAUAUUCAAUUUCGAUGGGUCAGGAAAUAUUUACAGAAACUGAUACACUUGGAAAAAUUGCAUGUGAAUUCUUGUGAUAUAAAAAAUAUUUUCGAAGUAUGUUCUUAGUUGAUGAAACUUAGGGACUUUUCAGUUUCUAGUUUCCGAUAUCUAUCACAGAAGAUGGAUUUUUUGUAUCCUAAAUUGGAAGAUAUGUCACUACUGUACAUGACGAUUGAGUUAGAAUUGCCGACAUGUCCAAGGCUCAAACACUUGAGAUUAAUUUACACUGUAUGUUGGAAGGAAAGCAUUGCACCCUUUAUUUCAAAGUACGCCAGCACUCUGGAGCGCCUAACAUUAGUGCCAAAAGAUUAUCAAGUCGAUUGUUAUGCAAAGGAUAUAAUAACAGUUCUCAGAAAGUGCAAAAGAUUGGAUCAUCUUAAAACAAAGAACAGUAUUUUAAGCAUUUUAUUCUCAGAGCUUCUGAUGUCGUUUAUUGAAGUUUUAACACAGAGAGACGCUUUAAAUUGUUGGGAGACUUUGAGAAAACCAAUGUACUUAGGCUGGAACUGAUGAAGAAAAUCCCAAAUUCCGAAGUGUGGAAAUUAGUAACGUUGAGUUACAGUGAAUAGAAAUUAGGAAUAAUUUUUAUUUAUGAACUAUAUAUGUAUAAAACCCAGAUCAGAAGCGAAAAGCAGUCCAUACCUUGACAAAAAAAAGGUUUAAAAAUUAAAUAAAAAUCACAAACAAUUUUUUAUGAAUGAAAUCGAUGACACGCACCCUACAAAUUGAAUGGGCAAUAUUGCUGUUGAUGUUCAGGUCAAACUACAGAAAAAAAACCUGUCCAGAGCUCAGCAUUUUAAAUACAGACUUGCUCUCUAACAUAUUCAUUAAAUAAAAAUCAUUAGAUCGUUCUGACCAUUCUCACACAUUCGAAAAUAUUCAGUGACCUGUGACUAAUGU